rnacentral:ncRNA from 1 species
AUGGCGGAACCGAAAAGCCAUUAAUAGAGUAGGAA